GAGAGCGAGCAGCCAGCUGGGAGGCAAAGGACAGACUUAGGAGGGGCCAUCUCAGAGAAACGGCUCAAAGACUGCAGCAGUGUGAGCUAUGGGCCCAGAAGGAAGGCUGUGAUACUCCAGACCAAGGAGGGGAAACUGAGUGGUCAGCUUGCCGCUGCCUUGAUUAAUCCAUUGAUGGUAAAAGGGUUUGAAGACAAAAGAAGAAAUAAUGCUCACUCGUGUGUGUCGAAAAGAAAAUUACAGAUACUAUCCCCCCGGGUUUGGAGAAGAAAUCUAAAUCGAACCUGCCAAGAUCAGAAAGAGACCCCUUACCCGUUGGACGAAGCGCGUGGAGGAGGAAGGGUCGGGAAGCCUAAGGAAGAUGCCAGCUGGAGCCCUGUUCAGUGUUGUCCAACCAAAGUUCCUUCGUGCAAUCAGAAACGACAGCUUCCUGCUCAGUCUGCAGCCCCACCGCACCCCCACGGCGCAGGAGGGGCUGAUCAAAACCCCCGCUUCACUGAACAGUGCUGCAGGAACCCAGUGGCCCUAGUUGUGAUCUCUCUCCCAGUCCCGGCGGUUUCAUGCCUUGGCUGAGUGUGGCCGCCUUGCUCAGGGAUGCUGCAUCUCAGCCAGCACUGGCAAGACUGAUGAA